UACGAAGGGGGCUAGCGUUGCUCGGAAUCACUGGGCGUAAAGCGCACGUAGGCGGAUUGCUAAGUCAGGGGUGAAAUCCUGGAGCUCAACUCCAGAACUGCCUUUGAUACUGGCGAUCUCGAGUCCGGGAGAGGUGAGUGGAACUGCGAGUGUAGAGGUGAAAUUCGUAGAUAUUCGCAAGAACACCAGUGGCGAAGGCGGCUCACUGGCCCGGUACUGACGCUGAGGUGCGAAAGCGUGGGGAGCAACAGGG
rnacentral:rRNA from 1 species